rnacentral:rRNA from 1 species
GCUUAACGCGAAGAACCUUACCUACCUUUGAAUCCACGGAACCUAGCAGAGAUGUUGGGGUGCCUUCGGGAACCGUGAGACAGGUGCUGCAUGGCUGUCGUCAGCUCGUGUCGUGAGAUGUUGGGUUAAGUCCCGUAACGAGCGCAACCCUUGCCAUUAGUUGCUACGAAAGGGCACUCUAAUGGGACUGCCGGUGACAAACCGGAGGAAGGUGGGGAUGACGUCAAGUCCUCAUGGCCCUUAUAGGUGGGGCUACACACGUCAUACAAUGGCUGGUACAAAGGGUUGCCAACCCGCGAGGGGGAGCCAAUCCCAUAAAGCCAGUCGUAGUCCGGAUCGCAGUCUGCAACUCGACUGUCGUGAAGUCGGAAUCGCUAGUAAUCGCGCAUCAGCAUGGCGCGGUGAAUACGUUCCCGGGUCUUGUACACACCG